AGAGUUUGAUCAUGGCUCAGGAUGAACGCUGGCGGCGUGCUUAACACAUGCAAGUCGAACGGUGAAGCCCAGCUUGCUGGGUGGAUCAGUGGCGAACGGGUGAGUAACACGUGAGCAAUCUGCCCCUGACUCUGGGAUAAGCGCUGGAAACGGCGUCUAAUACUGGAUAUGAACCGUGGAGGCAUCUUCAACGGUUGGAAAGAUUUUUGGUCAGGGAUGAGCUCGCGGCCUAUCAGCUUGUUGGUGAGGUAAUGGCUCACCAAGGCGUCGACGGGUAGCCGGCCUGAGAGGGUGACCGGCCACACUGGGACUGAGACACGGCCCAGACUCCUACGGGAGGCAGCAGUGGGGAAUAUUGCACAAUGGGCGCAAGCCUGAUGCAGCAACGCCGCGUGAGGGAUGACGGCCUUCGGGUUGUAAACCUCUUUUAGCAGGGAAGAAGCGAAAGUGACGGUACCUGCAGAAAAAGCGCCGGCUAACUACGUG
rnacentral:rRNA from 1 species